CCUACGGGGGGCUGCAGUGGGGAAUAUUGGACAAUGGGGGGAACCCUGAUCCAGCCAUGCCGCGUGUGUGAAGAAGGCCCUCGGGUUGUAAAGCACUUUCAGUGAGGAAGAACGCCUGGUGGUUAAUACCCAUCAGGAAAGACAUCACUCACAGAAGAAGCACCGGCUAACUCCGUGCCAGCAGCCGCGGUAAUACGGAGGGUGCGAGCGUUAAUCGGAAUUACUGGGCGUAAAGCGCGCGUAGGUGGCUUGAUAAGCCGGUUGUGAAAGCCCCGGGCUCAACCUGGGAACGGCAUCCGGAACUGUCAAGCUAGAGUGCAGGAGAGGAAGGUAGAAUUCCCGGUGUAGCGGUGAAAUGCGUAGAGAUCGGGAGGAAUACCAGUGGCGAAGGCGGCCUUCUGGACUGACACUGACACUGAGGUGUGAAAGCGUGGGUAGCAAACAGGAUUAGAUACCCUAGUAGUC
rnacentral:rRNA from 1 species